GACGAACGCUGGCGGCGUGCUUAACACAUGCAAGUCGAACGCUGAAGCCCUUCGGGGUGGAUGAGUGGCGAACGGGUGAGUAACACGUGGGUAAUCUGCCCUGCAUUCUGGGAUACGCCGUGGAAACGGGGUCUAAUACCGGAUAGGACACAUCGCCGCAUGGUGUGUGUGUGGAAAGUUCCGGCGGUGCAGGUUCACCCCGCGGCCUAUCAGCGUGUUGGUGGGGUGAUGGCCUACCAAGGCGACGACGGGUAGCCGGCCUGAGAGGGUGACCGGCCACACUGGGACUGAGACACGGCCCAGACUCCUGCGGGAGGCAGCAGUGGGGAAUCUUGCGCAAUGGGCGAAAGCCUGACGCAGCAACGCCGCGUGGGGGAUGACGGCCUUCGGGUUGUAAACCUCUUUCGACCGGGACGAAGGAUUCGUUUGACGGUACCGGUAGAAGAAGCACCGGCUAACUACGUGCCAGCCGCCGCUGUAAAAC
rnacentral:rRNA from 1 species